CCUAAUAAGGUUUAUAUCCUUCCUGUACUAAUAAAUCCCCUAACUUUCUCUGCAAUCUACCUCACUCUCUUUUCUGGAACUAUAAUUACACUUUUUAGUUCACAUUGACUUCUAACCUUAGUAGGCCUAGAAAUAAGUAUGCUAGCAAUUAUCCCUAUCUUAAUUGAUAAAGGAUAUCCUCAAUCCACAGAAGCUGCAUGCAAAUAUUUCCUAAUUCAAGCCACCACAUCAAUGAUCUUAAUAGGCAUAAUAAUUAAUUUCAUAGACUCAGGCCAAUAAACCCUGUCCAACUAAUACAAACAAAUUUCAUCAUUUAUAUUUACAAUUGCAUUUUCAAUAAAAAUAGGACUUGCCCCAUUUCAUCCAUGAGUACCAGAAGUUACCCAAGGAAUCCCACUUAAAUCAGGCCUAAUUCUGCUAACAUGACAAAAGAUUGCCCCAAUCUCUAUUGUAUACAAAAUCACAUCUUCCAUAAAUCCCACUCACAUAUUAUUUAUGGGAACCCUAUCAAUUAUAGUAGGAGGCUGAGGGGGGCUUAACCAAACCUAACUAAGAAAGAUCUUAGCAUACUCAUCUAUUGCCCAUAUAGGAUGAAUCAUAGCGAUUAUUACAUAUAACCCAACUUUAACGAUAUUAAACCUAAUCAUUUAUAUUAUGCUUACCAUUAAUAUAUUUAUACUUCUCCACUACCACAAAAAACUUCUGCCCUUUCCCUAUCAAAC
rnacentral:lncRNA from 1 species